GUUCUCUCUUUGUUAAACAAAUUCCAAAUAUACUUUUUCAUUUUAUCUGUAAGAUUUCCAAAGUGAACAAAAUGAACUUAAUCAGCUACCAACUGAGAUUUCAAUUCUCUGCAAAAAAUAUGAGCUCCCAUAACUUUCAACAUAAUUAGCUCUUAAUAUACCCAAAUUUCUUCCAAUCUCUCCCAUAAUUAGCUCGCAAUAUUUCCCCAAAUUUCUUGGUAACUAGUUCUCAAUAUACCCAGAUUUCACAAUCAAGGAGAUUGUUCUCUCAUAAAUUGCACAUUUAAGGAGAUACGCGAGUGUACCUAUGACUUCAGAUUUCCCUCAGCUCUAGACAGCCUCCCGCAUAUCAAGUUUCAAGAUAAAGGUAACCAGGAUGAGCAUCCAGCACAACAUUGAUUCUAGUUGAGCUUCAGAGUUUGUUGGGAUGGCGAAGCAAAAUCAGUCUAAAAAUAUGUUCAAAUCAGCGGCGAGCUCUUCUCUUGCUCCAGGAUACUUUCCACAAUCUCAGGAUCAAGCUUCAUCAUCAAAAACAAGUCGACAUGUUACAUAUUCAUCAUCUGAUGGAGACUCUUUAAAAUUUGUUUCAUCUACUUUUGAUGGAGUUUCUUCAAAGCAAACAAAACAUAAAGACAAUGAAGUCAAUCAUGAUUGGUUUGUCGAUGUUAUAGAUCAAAAUCAAGUAACAAAAACAGUUAGAAUGAAGAUCAGGGAUGUCCAUAACAUGGAAAAUGGAUUGCGGAUAAUUGUAGAAUGUGAUGAAUAGGCUGCACCUAUUGGAAAAGCAGCCGGAAUAAUUGCAGGUAUUAUGGUCAGACAUGCCAGAUUCUUACUUGGAUCGUGUUUUUAAUGAAAUCCUGAUUGUACUUCCUUGUUAAAUAUUUUUCUUAGUUUGAUUCUUUUAGCUAAAACUGCAUUAAACUAACAUUACUCUGUGAAGGCUCGAUUUCUCUUAAUGAUUGAUCAUCAAAAGGAAAAAAGAUGGGUUGGCAGUAAUCUUAAGUGGAAGGACCACAGGCAUAAACUAUGGUAUACCACAGAAAAUCCAUUAUUGAGCAAAGAAGAGAUCAUUACAACAUCUCCAAAUGGAAUACCCAUGGAUCAAUGGGCACCGUUUAACAAUUAUCGUAUGGACGAGAAAACACUAGUACUUAAUUCUUCCUUUUUUUCUUUCUAUUACUUGUUUUUCUCUGUCAUUAUUGUGGCCCUUUUAUUGACUUUCUACUGCUACUUCUUUUCUGUCACAUAUUUCUUCUUUACAUGAAGUUAACUGUUCAUAUUGUUCUAAUCAAAACCUGUAGAAACUUUGCAAGAAUCAACAGAUUCCACAAAAUCAAAUUCCUCAUACCAGAGGUGCUAAGAGUUUGGCUAGAAGAAGAGCUGAAAUGGUAGUUUAAUACAAUGUUCUUAGAUAUAUAUUCUCUUAAUUAUUUAUUAAUGUCUUACAAUUUAAAAAUUUUAGAGGGCAAAGGGAAAACAUGUUGAUCGAGGUAAAACGUGGACUGAGACUCAUAAGAGAAAAGAUGGAAGUUAUGUAACUGAGGCGGCUAGAGAGAUUAAUAUAUGAUUAGUCGAGUAGCUAUCGAAUCAGAUUUCUGGUUUUGGUGACAGUAAAAAAAGUAAUGCUUCAAUUGAGAUACUGAAAUUGAGGACUAAAAACUACUUCCCUAAAACACAAUAUUCUUAAAGUUAUUGUUUUUUUUCUGUAUGUGUUUAGUUGAUGUUGAUGUAGUACGGAUAUCAGUCUAUGUACUGAAAUGCAACAGUGAAGCCUUCCUUUGAGUAGUAAUUCUACUAUGCAGCAA